GACUUGUUUAUUAAUACUAAAAGUGAUAUUGGAAGGUUACAAUUCAUACUAAAACGCAUUAUAAAAUAAACAGAAGUAUUAUAUAUGUGGAAAAACAGUUAUAUAUUAAUUUACGACUUAUCGUUUUUGUAACUAAUGUACAUUAUAAUGCAACGGAUAGCUCAAAAUAAUACAAACGAUCACAAGAUAUUAAAUUUUAUCUGUAACAUUCUUUUUUUUUUUUUUUUUGAAUUAUUAAUUAUUGUAGAUGCAAAAAUAUACAUUCAGAUAUAUUAAAGGAACAGCUAGAAAAUCAUGAAGAUUAUAAAUAUUAUUUAGCCAAAUAUCAAAAUCGGUUUAUGAGUACUUUGAAAAAAAUGGUUGAAACUGCUGACAUAAAAAUAAAAAAAAAUAAAGAAAGACUAAAAAGCUUAUCGGAAAGUAGUCCCAAAAAUUGCAAGAAGGAAAAAAUCGAAUGUAUUAACAACCACAUAUGUGAUUUACUUAAACAAGCAGAAGCGGCUGGGGAAAAGGGUGAUUUGGUUAAAGCUACUAGUUUUAAUAAUCAAGUUACAACGCUGCAAGCAGAAAUUAAAAGACUUAAUGAGGAAAGCGAUGAAGAAACUGAAACGGAAAUGAAUGUGAGUAAAUAAAUAACAAAAUUGGUCUAUGCGAAUAUACUGACAUUGUUGUAUUUAUAUUAUAUGCUCACAAGUAUGCAUUUUUUUUUUUUUUAUUUUAUAUUUGUUUACAUAUAUAGGUAUGUGAAGUAUGUGGUGCUAUGAAAUCAACUGUGGAUCCUGUCCAAAGGAUUGAAAAUCAUGUUAAUGGUAAACAACAUAUGGGUUUUGAAAAAAUAAGAAAUACGUUACUUGACUUGAGUGAUAAAUGGGUAGAGCGAGAAAACUUUAUAAAAGAUUAUAGAAAAAAAAAUGAUGAUAAAAAAAAUCAUGCUAAAAAAGAAAAACAUUAUCAUAAUCAUGAGCAUAGGAGAAGAUAUAGUGAUCAUAGAAAAAGUACAAAACAUC
rnacentral:lncRNA from 1 species